rnacentral:rRNA from 1 species
GACGAACGCUGGCGGCGUGCUUAACACAUGCAAGUCGAACGGAAAGGCCCUGCUUUUGUGGGGUGCUCGAGUGGCGAACGGGUGAGUAACACGUGAGUAACCUGCCCUUGACUUUGGGAUAACUUCAGGAAACUGGGGCUAAUACCGGAUAGGAGCUCCUGCUGCAUGGUGGGGGUUGGAAAGUUUCGGCGGUUGGGGAUGGACUCGCGGCUUAUCAGCUUGUUGGUGGGGUAGUGGCUUACCAAGGCUUUGACGGGUAGCCGGCCUGAGAGGGUGACCGGCCACAUUGGGACUGAGAUACGGCCCAGACUCCUACGGGAGGCAGCAGUGGGGAAUCUUGCACAAUGGGCGGAAGCCUGAUGCAGCAACGCCGCGUGCGGGAUGACGGCCUUCGGGUUGUAAACCGCUUUCGCCUGUGACGAAGCGGGAGUGACGGUAAUGGGUAAAGAAGCACCGGCUAACUACGUG